rnacentral:tRNA from 1 species
GCCGAAGUGGCGAAAUUGGUAGACGCCCGGGACUUAAAAUCCCGUGGGAACUUGUUCCCGUGUCGGUUCGAGUCCGUCCUUCGGCACCA